CCGACGGUGAGAGGCGAAAGCUGGGGGAGCAAACCGGAUUAGAUACCCGGGUAGUCCCAGCCGUAAACGAUGUGCGUUAGGUGUAUCGGUGACCACGAGUCACCGAGGUGCCGAAGAGAAAUCGUGAAACGUACCGCCUGGGAAGUACGGUCGCAAGGCUGAAACUUAAAGGAAUUGGCGGGGGAGCACCACAACAGGUGGAGCCUGCGGUUUAAUCGGACUCAACGCCGGGAAACUCACCAGAUAAGACAGCUGAAUGAUAGUCGGGCUGAAGACUCUACUUGACUAGCUGAGAGGAGGUGCAUGGCCGUCGUCAGUUCGUACUGUGAAGCAUCCUGUUAAGUCAGGCAACGAGCGAGACCCACGCCAACAGUUGCU
rnacentral:rRNA from 1 species